UACGGGGGGAGCAAGCGUUGUUCGGAUUUACUGGGCGUAAAGGGCGCGUAGGCGGCGCAACAAGUCACUUGUGAAAUCUCCGGGCUUAACUCGGAACGGUCAAGUGAUACUGUUGUGCUAGAGUGCGGAAGGGGCAACUGGAAUUCUCGGUGUAGCGGUGAAAUGCGUAGAUAUCGGGAGGAACACCAGUGGCGAAGGCGACUACCUGGCCUGUUCUUGACGCUGAGGCGCGAAAGCUAGGGGAGCAAACGGG
rnacentral:rRNA from 1 species